AUUGAACGCUGGCGGCAGGCCUAACACAUGCAAGUCGAACGGUAGCACAGAGAGCUUGCCCUCGGGUGACGAGUGGCGGACGGGUGAGUAACGUCUGGGAAACUGCCCGAUGGAGGGGGAUAACUACUGGAAACGGUAGCUAAUACCGCAUAACGUCGCAAGACCAAAGUGGGGGACCUUCGGGCCUCACACCAUCGGAUGUGCCCAGAUGGGAUUAGCUAGUAGGUGGGGUAAUGGCUAACCUAGGCGACGAUCCCUAGCUGGUCUGAGAGGAUGACCAGCCACACUGGAACUGAGACACGGUCCAGACUCCUACGGGAGGCAGCAGUGGGGAAUAUUGCACAAUGGGCGCAAGCCUGAUGCAGCCAUGCCGCGUGUAUGAAGAAGGCCUUCGGGUUGUAAAGUACUUUCAGCGGGGAGGAAGGCGGUGAAGUUAAUAGCUUCACCGAUUGACGUUACUCGCAGAAGAAGCACCGGCUAACUCCGUGCCAGCCGCCGCAGUAA
rnacentral:rRNA from 1 species